rnacentral:rRNA from 1 species
AACGCGAAGAACCUUACCCAGACUUGACAUCCUUGGAAUCCUUCAGAGAUGAGGGAGUGCUCGCAAGAGAGCCAGGAGACAGGUGCUGCAUGGCUGUCGUCAGCUCGUGUCGUGAGAUGUUGGGUUAAGUCCCGCAACGAGCGCAACCCUCGCCUUUAGUUGCCAGCAUUCAGUUGGGCACUCUAGAGGGACUGCCGGUGUCAAGCCGGAGGAAGGUGGGGAUGACGUCAAGUCCUCAUGGCCUUUAUGUCUGGGGCUACACACGUGCUACAAUGGCCGGUACAAAGGGCAGCGAAGGCGCGAGCCGGAGCCAAUCCCAGAAAACCGGUCCCAGUUCGGAUCGAAGUCUGCAACUCGACUUCGUGAAGUCGGAAUCGCUAGUAAUCGCGGAUCAGAACGCCGCGGUGAAUACGUUCCCGGGCCUUGUACACACCGCUAGUC